rnacentral:rRNA from 1 species
CUCGGAGUUUGAUCCUGGCUCAGGAUGAACGCUAGCGGCAGGCUUAACACAUGCAAGUCGAGGGGUAUAGUAGCAAUACUAGAGACCGGCGCACGGGUGCGUAACGCGUAUGCAAUCUACCUUUUGCAGAGGGAUAGCCCAGAGAAAUUUGGAUUAAUACCUCAUAGUAUGUGAGAAUCGCAUGGUUUUCACAUUAAAGUCACAACGGUAAAAGAUGAGCAUGCGUCCCAUUAGCUUGUUGGUGAGGUAAUGGCUCACCAAGGCGACGACGGGUAGCCGGCCUGAGACGGGCGACCGGCCACGAUUGGGGACUGAGACUACGGGCCAGA